AACGAAUGCUGGAGGCAUGCCUAACACAUGCAAGUCGAACGAGACCUGCGGGUCUAGUGGCGCACGGGUGCGUAACGCGUGGGAAUCUGCCCUUGGGUUCGGAAUAACAGUUGGAAACGACUGCUAAUACCGGAUGAUGACGUAAGUCCAAAGAUUUAUAGCCCCAGGAUGAGCCCGCGUAGGAUUAGCUAGUUGGUGAGGUAAAGGCUCACCAAGGCGACGAUCCUUAGCUGGUCUGAGAGGAAGAUAAGACACACCGGGACUGAGCCAGGGCCAAGACCCAGACGCGAGGGAGAAGAGGGGGAGGGGAAAAUUGGGGAGUGGCGAAGGCCUGAUCCAGCAAUGCCGCGUGAGUGAUGCAGGCCUUAGGAUUGUAAAGCUCUUUUACCCGGGAUGAUAAUGACAGUACCGGGAGAAUAAGCACCGGCUAACUCCGUG
rnacentral:rRNA from 1 species